CUGGGGGCAAACCACUAUGUACAGUGCAUGUGUGGCGGCGCAUGCAUGCGCUGUACAUAGCAACGCCGCACAUGCACUGUACAUAGUGGUUUGCUGCUGG